AGGGCCAUAUUAAGUUGAAACACCGGUUCCCGCAUGAUCACCGAAGUUAAGCAACGUCGAACCUAGUCAGUACCUAGAACGGUUACCCCUUGAGAAUACCAGGUGCUGUAAG